rnacentral:lncRNA from 1 species
AACUCUAGGAACUUACGAGCAUAUUUCCAUACCGUCAUGUUUCCCUGGACCAGCUGAAUAAACUCCAUCUCCUUCAGGUGUCGGAUGUGCUCAGGGAGAUACUCCGCAUGGAAGGCCGCUAAGAACUGCUCCCAAGUGGCUGGUGUAGGCAGGGUGGUCUUCUUGAGCUCCCACUAACGACCUGCUUCCCCUACCAGCAUGUAGGAAGCAAGGGCAGCUCUCUACUCGGGAACCACUCCUAAAGGUCUUGAAAGCUCUCUCAGUCUCCGCCAACUAG